AGAACUUGAGAAAUUUCUCCACCCCUUCUGGAGGUCCCCUAGCCCAGCCCAUAAAACUAAGCUGAAACCCACCUCGGGGUCCAAGUCCCUGCUCCGCUGUGUCGGGUAAACUUGAACCCAAGCCCAAGUUUGCAAAUAAACCCUCUUGUGUUGGCAUCUGUGUUGGCUCCUUGGUGGUUUCUCGGAUUCGCAAUCUUGGGCACAACAUUAAUGUCACUUCAGAGCCAAUGUCCAGUACUCCCUGAAUAUCUAGCUAUUUCUCAUUCUUUUAGGUACACCCAUCCUGGUAAAUGAGAAUUUUCUUGUGCCAUGUCUGGCCUGCAAAGAGAAGUCACUAUGAGCUCUGAAAGCUUCAAUGGAAAGGAUAUAAAAGUUUGAAUCAUGAACAAGGGAAGAGUUAAGAACCGAUAAAGGGAAAUAAAAGAUACGUAAAUAGUUAUUUAUGCUGCACAUAUUCAUGGCCUACUUUAUCUAAAACAGAGCCUUGCUAGCACAAGGUUAAUUUAAAUAUAACACGUAUAUUGGGGAUAAGUUUUGGUGUAAUGGUUUUAAUAUUUCACUGGCAAAAUACCAUGUACCUAAUAGUAUAUUUUAUUUAUGUUAUUUGAUUUUAGAACCCAUGCUCUUACCAUUACCUAAAAUGCAUAGAGAAUAAAAAUGUGGAGUCACAAGAAUUUGUUAGUAUAAUUGUUAAAGGACCACCAUAAAUUUCCCUCAAACUAAAUUGUCUAGUAUUAUGACAAGUGUCACAUUAUUGGUUGCCAGAGAUUUAUAGGUGACAAGACAGUGUACUAUUUUUUUCAUCUCUACAGGUUUUCUAUCUGAAACUGCCUACAUAUUUGACUAUAUUCACAGAAAGAAGAUUGCUUUUUUUUUGCUCAAGUGUGUGGCAGGAAGUGUCACUUGCCUGUUGGAAACCCUCUCCUAAACAAUAUUGACUCCCUUGAUAUCACCCUCUUCUGAAUUUUCCAGCUAUCUCAUUGAAGUUUAUAAGGUUGCAUAUAUACCAAGAAAGAUUAGUUCUUCAUGUGGAUUUGGGUAUUCUACAGACUUGAGUAUAAGAUCCAAUUGGGCUUCUUGGCUGCAUGUCCUUAGUUUCCAGGUAUGUUCUAAGAAGCUGAAGUGAAUGGAAGUCAAACAAUCAAACCUAUACUGCAAAAUUUCUUUGGAGUUUUGUCAUACUGUAUUUGUAAACUCUUUGGGGGUUUUUGAUUUAUUAGUUGCAAUGUAUUAAAAUAUAUGAUUAUGACUUAAAAGAUGAAGUUUUAUUACAUGAAUGACAUCAAAAAUUUUAAUUCUAUAACAUAUUUAAAUAUAAGGUAUUGAUGUUGCAUUCUGAAACAUUAACUUUUAUCUAGCAACUCAUGUUUAAUUUUUCUGUCCACUAAACUUAAAUAAAACCUUAAAUCUUACAAUAGUGAGAACA